UUGACCUCAAAUCAGGUAGGACUACCCGCUGAACUUAAGCAUAUCAAUAAGCGGAGGAAAAGAAACUAACAAGGAUUCCCCUAGUAACUGCGAGUGAAGCGGGAAAAGCUCAAAUUUAAAAUCUGGCAGUCUCCUGGCUGUCCGAGUUGUAAUCUAGAGAAGUGCUAUCCGUGCUGGACCAUGUAUAAGUCUCCUGGAAUGGAGCAUCACAGAGGGUGAGAAUCCCGUCUUUGACAUGGACUCCCAGUACAUUGUGAUGUGCUCUCAAAGAGUCGAGUUGUUUGGGAAUGCAGCUCUAAAUGGGUGGUAAAUUCCAUCUAAAGCUAAAUAUUGGCGAGAGACCGAUAGUGAACAAGUACCGUGAGGGAAAGAUGAAAAGAACUUUGGAAAGAGAGUUAAACAGUACGUGAAAUUGUUGAAAGGGAAACGCUUAAAGUCAGUCACAUUGGCUGGGGAUCAACCCUGCUCUUUUGCUGGGUGUACUUCCCAGUUGAUGGGUCAGCAUCAAUUUUGAUCACUGGAAAAAGGCAGAGGGAAUGUGGCAUCUCAGGAUGUGUUAUA
rnacentral:rRNA from 1 species